rnacentral:lncRNA from 1 species
UCUCAUCCUAGCUCGAGCGGGAGGUGGAAGACUACCCGGUGGCCGGGUCCCACGCGUUAGGGAGCCAAGGACAGGCCCCUCCAUUUAAUUGGAGGCGCUUCCCCUCUGUUCCGCCUUCACCACAAGAAAGUGUAUUCCAGGCAAUACACUUCUGUCGUGGCCUUUCGCACUCAGGCUACACUACUGGGUCGGUCCAUUUGCUAUCCUGUGCCCCGGUGCAGUAUAGUCUUUGGUACUCCCCGUGCCUUUUUCUUUUUUCCGAUAAAUACUAUUUAAUCCUUAAAAAAUCAUAUGGGCUCCAAAUUUAGUGAUCCAAAUUCCAAGGAACUCCUAAAAUCUUUUCCAAUCCAGAUAUGUGC